ACCUGACCGGAGAGCCGGCUAGAUAUGGCGUCCUCUUUGCUUGCGGGCGAGCGAUUGGUGCGUGCUUUGGGCCCCGGCGGGGAGCUGGAGCCAGAGCGGCUACCCCGAAAGCUGCGGGCCGAGCUUGAGGCCGCGCUGGGGAAGAAGCACAAGGGCGGUGAUAGCUCCAGUGGCCCCCAACGCUUGGUUUCUUUCCGUCUCAUCCGGGAUCUGCACCAGCAUCUGAGAGAAAGGGAUUCCAAACUAUACCUCCAUGAGCUCCUAGAAGGCAGUGAAAUCUAUCUCCCAGAGGUUGUGAAGCCUCCACGGAACCCAGAACUAGUUGCCCGGCUGGAGAAGAUUAAGAUACAGCUGGCCAAUGAGGAAUAUAAACGGAUCACCCGCAACGUCACUUGUCAGGAUACAAGACAUGGUGGGACUCUCAGCGACCUGGGAAAGCAAGUGAGAUCAUUGAAGGCUCUGGUCAUCACCAUCUUCAAUUUCAUUGUCACGGUGGUUGCUGCCUUCGUCUGCACUUACCUUGGAAGCCAAUAUAUCUUCACAGAAAUGGCCUCGAGACCGCGUGGCGCGCAUUGGGCUGGGCGUGAUCCUGAACCUGGCGAAGGAACGCGAACCCGUAGAGCUGGCGCGGAGCGUGGCAGGCAUCUUGGAGCACAUGUUCAAGCAUUCGGAGGAGACAUGCCAGAGGCUGGUGGCGGCCGGCGGCCUGGACGCGGUGCUGUAUUGGUGCCGCCGCACGGACCCCGCGCUGCUGCGCCACUGCGCGCUGGCGCUGGGCAACUGCGCGCUGCACGGGGGCCAGGCGGUGCAGCGACGCAUGGUAGAGAAGCGCGCAGCCGAGUGGCUCUUCCCGCUCGCCUUCUCCAAGGAGGACGAGCUGCUUCGGCUGCACGCCUGCCUCGCAGUAGCGGUGUUGGCGACUAACAAGGAGGUGGAGCGCGAGGUGGAGCGCUCGGGCACGCUGGCGCUCGUGGAGCCGCUUGUGGCCUCGCUGGACCCUGGCCGCUUCGCCCGCUGUCUGGUGGACGCCAGCGACACAAGCCAGGGCCG
ensembl:lncRNA novel transcript readthrough between TMEM199 and SARM1